AUGCCAACCCAGGGCCUCUGUGAACUUGGGAAACUCGCAGGCAACACAACCGCUGCGCGCGCGAGGACCCGCCCGCUAGACGAGCGCGCGCCGUGGCGGGCAGAAGGCGGGGUCCCGCGCCGGCAGAGGAGCGCCCGCGGGGCUCGCGACGCCCGGCCACGCGCGGCUCGGACCCGGGCUCUCGAGGCCCGUCCCGGGCGCCCCGCCCGCCCCCGCGCGCUCCCGCCUCCACCGCCGGGUUGCACCAGCCCGAGGAUUCAAGCGACUCUUACCGGGCUCCGGCUAGACGGCCGCUGGCUUCGAGCCCCUUUGCUGUGGCUUUUUGUCUCUGUGGCCUUCUUUAAUCUUCCUGCCUCCAUCGCCCCAUUUGAGAAUAUCGAGAAAAAUGAGAAGAGCUACUCAACAGAACUGCCGUGAAAAUUAAGUAAAACAAUAGGGCUUAUUAUUUUUUUUUAAAGAUAGCCAGUGCUUAAUACAGUGCCUGGGACUUGUAAACUGGGCCAAGGCAUAGUUUGCAGAGCCCAGCGCAAAGUGAAAGUGCGGGGCCCCUUGUUCAAGAUUGUGGACGAAUUGCAAGACCACGGCAGCAAACAGUAAACCAAUACCAAAGACGUAAAGCCAACCCUGUUUGUAAGCACUCAUGCUGUCUUUUGAUGAAAGUGACUUUUCAGAUCAGUAGUGUUUGAGAAGAUACUAUUAUUGUAUCUCAAACUAAGCCCAAGAUAGAUUGAAAACUUAAGCAAACCACACAAUACUACAAAAGACCAGAAGGGGAUAUGGAGGAAAGCUUUAUAAUUGGAGGAGGGAAAACGUUCAUAAUGAAUCAAAAUCAAUAAUUUACUUUAAAACGUGAAAGAUAGUUAAACAUCUGUCCGGAAGCAAUGCCACCAACAACGUAGAACAAAUGAGAAAAUAACUUUAAAAUACUGCAAUAUGCAUGGUAAACAGAUGGUUAAUCUUCAUGAGACACACAGACCACCGUCUCUAAUCAGUUUAAAAACAACAACUGUAGUCCAAAACAAACAGACAUCAAAUCAUUAGUGGCCAAUAAACACAAGAAGAUAACUAAGUAGCCCGGGGGCCUGGGGGGCUCAGUUGGUUCGCCGCUGAGUCUUGGUCUCAGCUCAGGGGAUGAUCUCACAGUUCUUGAGUCCCAGCCCUGCAGUGGACUCUUGCUGAUGCCCCCGAGCCUGUUUGUUUGGGAUUCUGUCUCUCCUUCUUCCUGCCCCUCACCUGACUGUACUCUUUCUGUCUCUCAAAAUAAGUAAAUAAACUUAAGAAAAAAAAGAAAUAGCUAACCUGGGGCUGAGGGGUAGAGGAGUGGGGGACUUGAGGGGGACAGCUAGUGGGUAAGGGUUUCUCAGGGUGUUGAAAAAGUUUUAGAUUGUGAUGAUGGCUCCACAACUCUGAAAUACUGUGGACUAAAAACCACUGAACUAUAUACUUUAAAUGGGUGAAGUUUAUGGUAUGUGAAAUACAUCUCAAUAUGACUGUAAAAAAUGGGAAAAUAGCAAAAGAAACAACUUUAUAAUAUUUUCAUCUAUUAAAUAUACUGGCAAAAAUUUCAGUGAUUAUAAGCACUGUUUUGUCAAAUUUUGUGAGAACAUCAGCACUCGUGUUGUUUAAGUUGUUUGAGUAGAGAUUACUUUUACUUCACAGGGGCGCCUGGCUGGCUCGGUCUGUGGGGCAUGCAGCUCUUGGUCUUGGGGUUGCAGCUUCAAGCCCCAUGUUGGGUGUAGAGACUACUUAAAAAUAAAAUCUUUUAAAAGUGUUAUUUUUAUUUUAAAGGUAAAAAAGUGAGGUUUUCAUUUCUGAGAAAGAAGACAAACUUGAAAGUUAGAGAGGUCCUGAGUUCUGCCACUUCCUGGCUGUGUGGCCUUGGGCAAGUCCCUGAGUCUCUGCCCCGUCAUCUACAAAAUAAGGAUGUCAAUACCUUUCUCACAGAGGGGGAGGUUACGACAGUUUAAUGAACUAAUGUAUGCAAAGCCAGACACAGAAUGAACACUCAAUAAAUGUGCAUGUUUCACUGAGCUGUAGUAUAGUACUCAUUUUUUAAUCCCCUAUGGUCAUUGCUCACUAAAUAUUUGUUAAAUGAAUGAAUCCAACAGCCAUGUGGAGUGUCAACUCUCAAAUUCAACAGCCCUGAAAUUAAUAGGUUGUGUUCAGAGAGCCAGCUCUUAAGUCAGACAAGAAAUUACUUACUUAACCUCUCUGAGCCUCCAUUUCCCCCCAUGAAACAUGAGGUUAAUAUAAGAGCACUAAAUGAAAUAAAGCAGAUAAAGCAUUUAGUCCCAUGGGGCGAAGACACGGAGUGCUGAAUAGCCAAUAAUUGAAAAGCACAUAAGAGGAGGAAACAUAGUAGACAUGAGAAAAUUACAGUUUCCAGAAUCUUACCAGAUACUGUGCACCAUGAUUUCAUUUUAAGAUCUACGACUAACUUCCUGGUUUUAAGCUUUAGCUUGUGUUACUCAGCCAUAAAGAUUCAAUGUCAAUGUCGUCACCAUGCCUCACCCAGGCCCCUGCCCAGUCAAAUGUUGCAAUCUCAACAAAAUACCAGUUACCCAUCCCUGGUUUCCCUUAAUUGCUCUUAAAGGACCUAAGGCUCCUGUCCAACCCCAAAACAGCCCUAUUAGAGCAUCGUCUUCCCACUCAUGAGACCAUGCUUAUCUGUGUGCCAUGUACCACGCUAAGACUUUUAUAUUCAUCAUUUCAUCUAAAACUCCCCAAACACCAAAAAAAAAAAAAAAUUCCCCCAAAUACCUGUAUGGACAACAUAACUAUUUUUAUUUUAAAAUAACAUAAUUCCUCCCGUUUUAAAAAUGAGAAAACUAAGGCUCCAGGUGGUUAAGGAACCAGAUUAGCAUUUCUCCAAAUGUGUUAGCAUUAUCUACGGCUAUUUGCAGAGAGUCAGCAGGGUGUCAAAAUCAUCCCCAAAACUUGGGACCUUUCACAGUUUAUCUGAUUAAACCCAUACACAAUAGACAAUAUAACUAAUCUUGGGAAGUUUUCAAAAACGAAGUCUAAUCGAGCUGGCCUGCGGUGAAGAUUAGGAUGGAUUUGAGAUGGGUGUUUUGGUCUAAUCAGUAGAAACCUAAUCCAUCCCAUUGUCAUGUAAUCAGAGAAAGAAAUCUCAAGACAGAAACUUUAGUCAAGGCCAUUCAAGAAAGGCUUGGUUCAAGAACUUCAAUGUUUAUUUUUGAGAGAGAGAGAAAGUGGAGAAAGGGCAGGGGGAGAGGGAGACAGAAUCUGAACCAGGCUCCAUGCUGUCAGCGCAAGGCCAGACGUGGGGCUCAAACCCAUGAACAGUGAGAUCAUGACCUGAGCCAAAGUUGGAUGUUCAAUCCUUUGGUUCAAGGAUUUCAAAGAGUUGCCCCUUCCUUCAUAAGGUAGUGGUUCUCAAAGUCCGGACUGAGGCUAACUAACAGCCGACCUGGCCGUGCUGUGGUGACAGCCAAAAACACAUUCCAGAAUGGACAAAUGCUAUUCACUCCCAUAGACCUUUAUUCUCUCUUAUAGCCAACUGCUUUUGGCUAGCAAAGGUUGCUCUCUAUAACACUGUAUUCACACACUGAAUAUAAAGUAUUCUCGAGCUGGAAUACUCCCAAUUUUCUGGAAACAAUUUGUCAUCAGUGUUGGUUUGAGUUGCUUUUUAAACUGUUACACUAGCGUUUUUGUAUAUUUGUGGAAUCUCCCUUUGGAGGCACUUCCCCUCAUUGUUUUGGUGCUUGGGUAAUUGUUACAAUGUUAACAUUCCCAUUGUCAUUUUGUUUCUUAGCAAAUCCUGGUUGUUACUGUACUUUUUCCAUAAGAAGGUAAGAGGGAGGGUUGGUUUGGGCUUCCAGUAUCAGUGAUUAGGUAAUUCUGAUGAAGUCUCCCACUGAGGAAAACUAGUAAAACUAGAAAAAUCUAAAAAUCUCUUCUUGAAAUCAUUGGAAAGUUAACAAGUUAGUGAAGAAUUACUGAGCCAGGAUCUGAAAAGAGAAAUUAAGGAAUGUAAGGCCCACAUUUAGGAUGCCUUUUCCAGGUAGGGCAUUUCCUGAGAGGCAGUUAAGAGAUUGAGUGGUGCUUUUAGCAGCCUUGGAGAGUUAGGGGAGCAGAGAGUGGAGUCCAGAGACCCAGAG
rnacentral:lncRNA from 1 species